AAUUGCACAAUGGAGGAAACUCUGNUGCAGCCAUGCCGCGUGCAGGAUGAAUGCCCUAUGGGUUGUAAACUGCUUUUAUACAAGANGANACAUCGGUACGUGUACCGACUUGACGGUAUUGUAUGAAUAAGCACCGGCUAACUCCGUGCCAGCAGCCGCGGGUAAUAU
rnacentral:rRNA from 1 species